ensembl:lncRNA
CUCCCAACCCACACUUUACCUACCUGAGGUUCAGUGAUCAGCAUGACAGUUGGUGUAGUUGGCAGGAUUCCCAGCAGGUAGGAGAGCCAGAGGCUUCAGUGGAUGGAGGAAGCCAGUGGCCACCACUCAGCAUGUGGUACCAGGUGGCCAUGGUCCUCCUGGCGUGGGCCCCAUUAGAAGGCUGGGAGCCAGAGGAUGGGGCGCCUACUACCCUUGAAAAAGUGUUGCAGGCCGUGAGUUCCCAUCUACUUGAUACAGCGGCAGGUACUGCCACUGGCACCUUGGGCUGGAUAUUCUUGACUGCCUUGAAGGUGAAUAUGGACAAUGCCCUACAUGAUGCUGCACAGGUUUUGAGUUGCAGAGACAGGCGGAAGAGCUAGAACAGUGUAUACGAACUUUUGCUGGAGCAAAAGAUGUGUGGCCUUGAUGAACCCAGCACCUCAGACAGCAAGGUACAGCAGAAGAUGAAACAUAAACAACCUUUGGCUCAAGGGGAAUCAUCCCAGGGGGCCCCUAAUAUGACUGAAUUUAUGACCUAUCAGCCAUUACUCAAGCAGAGUUGUUCUAUUUGGGUGGAGCAUUCAACAGACGCAGGGGGGAAAUCUAGUGUCAUGGCUCCUAUAAUUCUGGGACACUGGGGUAGACAGUAUUAUCUGCACAGGGGAUGAAAUAGAGCGUUUGGCAUUUUGACCCCUUAUUGCAGCAGAGAUUGAAUAACACGAGGCAGCAUAUGCAGGGGCAUCUCAACCAAACACGCUCCCUGAUGGAAUGGACCAACCAUCCAAACAGUUCGGACUAAUGUGGGGAUUCCCAGAUACUGUUUAAGUAAAUGGCAUACAUUUGCCAAAUUGACUCAGGUCAUAAGGGAAUUAGGCAUGAAACAGUCUAACCUGAACCUGAGUGUUUAACCUGAACACAAAGAGCUCGGAUGAUGAACAAUUUACAAGCGGCAUGCAAAAUGCCAUUUUGAACAAUGCCCUGUCCACCUCUUUUGGAUCCCUGACUUCAGUUCUUGUGCCCUCUGUGGAGUGCCCUCUCUGUGAAGUGGCCUCAAUUAUAGCAAGUCUAGGAAAGGUGGAGGGGAGAGGGAGAGUGUCAGGCAAAAGGUACCAGUGAUGUGAAGACCCCUAAAGCAGCCCCAUCUGGGUCAUACGGAUGCAAAUGUGGGCCUAUUUGUUUGCAGUGGGAGUUGACAGAAAUAAAAUUGAUAAGCAGCCCAAUGCUGUGCUCCUAGAAUUAUGGAGGCAACUGAGACCAGAACAACAGUUCACCAAGUGUGGGACAUGGCCAUGCAAGAGACACGGGCAGUAC